rnacentral:lncRNA from 1 species
GUUUGAUGUGUUUGUUUGAGGUUUUAGGCUAGUUUUGGACCUCUUUAUGCAUGUUUUAUGGUAUGUGCUAGUUGGGAGUAGUUGAUAUGCAUGUUAGGUAAGUUUGGGGGAAGGUUUGCAUGAAACAGAGCAGGGUUCUGCCCAGCGGGCAAAACCAGGUUCGGCCGCCGAAGGAAGGUUCGGCCGCCGAACCCCUUGUGGAGGCAGUUUCGGCUGCCAAAGCUUGCCCCCGAAACUUGGGACUUUCGUCUCUGGAGGCAAGGUUCGGCCGCCGAAAGUGCCG